GGCAGGAGAAAAAUAAUGGAAAGGUUCAUUGGUCGCGCUACGAGGAGGUGCAGUUCUGCUCAAGGCUGAGGUCCAAGAGGCUGGCACAGCUGGGCAGGUGGCAGGGACGGAGCCUGCCGAGUAAGGAUGAAGAGGGUGGAGUUUCCGUGGAGGCUGAGGGGGUGGGGCAGAAGGGGAGAGGCCUGUGUGCACCCCAGGGGCCCAUGACCAGUGUAUUCCAGGCACCCCGGGAGCGGGGUGGGAGCAGGGUGAGCAGACAACUUCCAGAGGUGACUACACUGCUGCUGCUGCCGCCGCUGCCCACAGCAGGGCCCUGGGUCUGGGUCUGGGUCUGGGCCUGGGCGCCGACCUGAGAUGGCAAAGGCUGCAGGCAGCCUGGUCUGUGGGGAGGAGGAGGGACGUCAGGUCUGGCUAGGGACAUCACAGCUGGAGGACACCAGCUGACUGUCACAGAAACACCAGACAGGGACCUGCAAAGCCAUCGGAGUGGAGGAAAAAUGUGGGUGUCAUCAGCAUACGGGCUCUGCAGCCCCGGAGGUCUGCCGGCGCCAGCGCCACCUGUGCCCGGGGCCGUACCGCGGAACCCUCUUUGCCGACCAGCCCCCGAUGUUCAUCUCGCCGGCCUGCAGCCCCCCCAGGGCCAAGCUGCGCGAGCUGGUGCUGCUGAGCGGGGGCCAAGUCAGCCGGGGCCCGCGCCGCGCCCGCGUCCUCAUCGGGCCCCACCGCGGAGCGCGCAGGC
rnacentral:lncRNA from 1 species